AUUCGUGAAAAAUCGGUUAAAAUGUCGCAAAUAAUUGAUAAUUUAUUGUGAAAAGUGUUAAUAAGUGCUUCCUGCAGUGUAUUGAAAUCAAAGUUGCAUUGGAAAUUGCUUAGAAAUGUGAAAUAAAAUGAUGCAAACCUGAUUUGUGAAGAGGCAGGCUUUUUUCAUCGUCGUAAAAUACAUACAGACAUUCACACACACACACGCAUAUGUAUAAAUAACGCGCGGGCGCGAGAGAGAAAGAGAGCGUGAGCUAGUGUCGAAUGUGUGCUUGUAUGCGUAAGUGUUCGUUGCGCUGUUUUUGUGUGUUUCUUUCGGCAACAGAGCGAGAGAGCAAGCGCGCCAAGCAGGCGAAUGCGAGAGCAAAGCAAAAACCAACAAAUAAGUGAACGAAAAUAAAAACGAAAAAUACCGAAAAUCGAACACAAGUCGAGUGUGUUGAAUGUUGUUGUGCAUGGCAAAUUAUGAUUUUAAUAUUGUCAACCAACUGAAUUGGAUACAUAAAGAUUGGGAGCACAAAAGAUUCAAGAAAACGCGCUAAGACAAAAAUUCACUCACACACGCACAAAUAUAAGGCGUAUAAAGCCGAAUGCGCAAAAAGUGUGUUAGUAUAAGUGCGGUGUUUGUGAGUGUGGUGGUUUGUAAUGAUGACGAUGUAGCUGAUCAUCACAGCGAUAAUAAUCAUGAUAACGAUGAUAAUGAUUAUGAUGUAGUUGGUGAGAUGAUGAUGAUGAAUCAGCCACAGCCAAAUUGCUACCAUCGUUGAGCAACGUUUCGCGAACAUACACACAUUACACACACACACACACACAUAUACAGAGAGAGUACAGCAAUGUGGAAAAUUGUAAAUACAACGAGCAAAAACUCAAAACGCAGAAAAACUAAACGCGCAAAAAGAAGAAUUUUGAAACUCUCGUCACCAUAAGACAUAAGACGACGAAAAUCUCAUAAAGCAAAGAAAAACUGUCGUAAAAAGGCAGUCAUAAAGGAAAACCCACCACUUAAAACAGAGGGUAGUGGGCUACAACAAUAACAACAACAACAAAAUCCAUACAGCAAGGAAAGUUUGUAGCAGCAAA
rnacentral:sRNA from 1 species